rnacentral:rRNA from 1 species
AUUGAACGCUGGCGGCAUGCCUUACACAUGCAAGUCGAACGGCAGCACGGGGGCAACCCCUGGUGGCGAGUGGCGAACGGGUGAGUAACAUAUCGGAACAUACCCUAGAGUGGGGAUAACGUAGCGAAAGUUACGCUAAUACCGCAUACGAUCUAAGGAUGAAAAGUGGGGGGAUCUUCGGACCUCAUGCUCAUGGAGUGGCCGAUAUCUGACUAGCUAGUUGGUGAGGUAAAAGGCUCACCAAGGCGACGAUCAGUAGCUGGUUUGAGAGAACGACCAGCCACACUGGAACUGAGACACGGUCCAGACUCCUACGGGAGGCAGC